UCCUCUUCCCUUUUCCUGAAUACCUGUUAUUGUUCAUUUGUGGUUUUAAAUGUCCCUUUAGUUGGUGAUACUGCAAAUUUUCUGUCACAUUCGCUCUUUUAGUUUCCUUUGUUCUAUGCCAUUGAUGCACUUUUUUUGUUCUUGAAAGAGAAUGAUUCACUUUUUGGUUGUUUAGGUUGUUUUCUUAUUUGUUCUUUCUUGUGAUGCAUGUUACUGUAUUCCUACGUUUUUUUCGAUUGCUCGUGGGAAGUGUUCUGGAUGGAUGUUUUCUCCAUGAGAAACCUGAAACCUUAUGCAAGGAAGCUAAUUUGACUUGUUUAGGGACUUAUCUUAUCUUUGUGCAAUGAAAAUUGAGGUCGAUAUGGUUAAUAAUCUGCAAUUUGGAUUUCUUUCAUGUUUCUCUAGAGAGUUUAUUUCCCUCCCCCCCUCCCAACACACACACUCUCUCUCUCUCACACACACACACACUCACACAAAAUAAAUGUAGGACAUUUGCAUAUGUUAUAUUGUAGGAGAUACAGGCAUAUGUAAUGCAAACAUGGAGCCCUGUUUUGUACUUCCUUGAAGCCAAAAGGUUGCUUUUUGGUUCUGAGGUCCCAAUUAUUUUCCGUUGAUUGGAUGUUUUGGAAAUAUUGAAGCAUGAGUGGUUAACAUUGUUGACUCUUGAUGGUAAAGUCAGUGUGAUUUAGCUUCUCAUAUCUAAGUGGUUAACAUUGUUGACUUUUGAUGGUAACUCAGAGUGAUCCAACUUUUUAUAUCUGAUGCUUCCCUCCUUUUGAAAACUGAAAGCUGAUAAACUGUUACUCUAUUUAGUACUCGAAGUUUCAACACUUCUUUUGGAUUUUAUCACAUCUCUUGCUUGAUCAUAAGGCCUGGAUAAAGUUAGCUCAAAUAAUCUCAGACUUAAUUGUAGUUGGUUGAUAUCCUAUUUGGAUUUAGUGAUUAGGAAAUUAAUAAGCAAUGAAAAAAUUGCAUUCAUCAUGCACAUAUACUGUUGUACUCAAUAUAAAAGUCUGCAGAGACACAGAGACUAAGCGGGUUAAGAUGGUUAGCAACUUGGGUGAAAACAAAUCUUAAUGAGUUAUUAACAGAAAGGGGGGGGGGGGGAGAAAGAAAGAAACAGUGAUGAGGAAAUGGUAUUGCAUCCUAAAAUGAGUGUCUUUCAUAAUGAUUGUAAUAUUGUAUCCCUUCAUCAGCAAUUCUAACAAAAUGUUUGGGUGGUGUUGGUUUUAAAACUAAGAGGAGAUAAUUUUGUUUCCAUCUUUUUAAGUUUUUGUAGGGCAUUGAUGAUAUAGAGACUGGGUCUAUCCAGGUGUUUCAUUGGUUGAACGAAUGAUAAGAAUCAGGGUGAUCCAUUCUCCACUUAGAGGUGUCGUCUUGUUCGGUUGUAUGAUUUUGUUACAUCUCUCCAUUAGCUGGUCUGAGUAGAAAUGAGUUGAAGAACAAAAUAAAGCAACUUAGAUAGCAGUCCAGUCUAAUACAUCAAUGGUAGAGCAUAUGAUACAAGUGUAGUUGAGGCAGAUAACUACACACUGGUGAUGUUCAAGAUGCAUUAUCAAGAGGAACUAAGGCUUUCCUCGAGCAUGGCUUAAUGUUUUGAGAUUUUGCUACCACGGAAUUUCUUACAUUCCUUCAAGUAAAUACAUUCUCAUCAAAUAUGGAACACCUCAGCAUGUAGGGCAAUUGAAGAAGGGGCACCUCCCUAACUUCUGCUUUCCUUUGCUUGUCCGAACUUCUGUUUCACUGUGUAGCUCUUAUUUGGAUUGAAAAAACCAUUUGGGAUUCUGUUUUAAGUUACUUUAACUUUUAGCGGCCAUUGAUUUACUAACACCAUUUUUUCGGACACUAUUUUAGUGACCUUUGAAUCUGUUUUCCUACUUGGUUCUGAAUAUGUGAUUUUUCUUUGUGCACAACCUAUUGGUCUUAAGAUUCUCCAAUGCUAAGAAUUUGCAUUGUUUUAUGUAUUUUUAACUAUGCUUCUCCGAGUCAUGUAAUGAUUUUUUCAU